rnacentral:rRNA from 1 species
AACGAACGCUGGCGGCAUGCCUAACACAUGCAAGUCGAACGAGACCUUCGGGUCUAGUGGCGCACGGGUGCGUAACGCGUGGGAACUUGCCCUUAGGUUCGGAAUAACUCCUCGAAAGGGGUGCUAAUACCGGAUAAUGUCUUCGGACCAAAGAUUUAUCGCCUUUGGAUGGGCCCGCGUUGGAUUAGCUAGUUGGUAGGGUAAAAGCCUACCAAGGCGACGAUCCAUAGCUGGUCUGAGAGGAUGAUCAGCCACACUGGGACUGAGACACGGCCCAGACUCCUACGGGAGGCAGCAGUGGGGAAUAUUGCACAAUGGGCGAAAGCCUGAUGCAGCAAUGCCGCGUGAGUGAUGAAGGCCUUAGGGUUGUAAAGCUCUUUUACCCGGGAUGAUAAUGACGGUACCGGGAGAAUAAGCUCCGGCUAACUCCGUG